CCAAGUGUUCCUCGGGGGGAUCUCUCCCCCGGGUGUGUCGCAGCCCCGAACCAAGGCGCCCGGGGGAGGCCCACCCAAAACUCUUAUUGUAUACCCCCUCGCGGUUUUUUAAUAAUGUGAGCUUUCUCGGCGCCUCUCGUAGGGUUUCGAAAAUGAAUCAAAACUUUCAACAACGGAUCUCUUGGUUCUGGCAUCGAUGAAGAACGCAGCGAAAUGCGAUAAGUAAUGUGAAUUGCAGAAUUCAGUGAAUCAUCGAAUCUUUGAACGCACAUUGCGCCCGCCAGUAUUCUGGCGGGCAUGCCUGUCCGAGCGUCAUUUCAACCCUCGAACCCCUCCGGGGGGUCGGCGUUGGGGAUCGGCCCUCCCUUAGCGGGUGGCCGUCUCCGAAAUACAGUGGCGGUCUCGCCGCAGCCUCUCCUGCGCAGUAGUUUGCACCCUCGCAUCGGGAGCGCGGCGCGUCCACAGCCGUUAAAUCCCAA
rnacentral:rRNA from 1 species